AUAUUACCAUUUAAGCAGGCAAUGAAUUUUAAAAUAUUGGCAUGUUUUAUAUUCAAAAUCUAGUAUGUUUUACACUUACACCACAUCUCAAUUUAGACUAACAACACGUAAAGUGCUCAAUAGUUACCAUAAUGCUAUAUUGCUAAGUAGCUGCCAUAUUUGAUAAAUUAACCCUAGAACAACUAUCUGCGCUCAGAAACACAUACAAAUAUAUAGCACUAGUACAACUAUUGAUUCACUUUUUAAAAAUUCAUUGUGAGAAAACAGAGUAGAUUUUAAAAGACUGAUAUGAUUAAAUAUCCUUUAGACUUAUUAUUUAAUUACUACUUCAGAACAUGACCAUAUUUGGAAAUACAACAUAGUAUUGGAGUUCUAAUCAUGGAAAUAAUUCAUUGGAGAUAAUAUUUGCUGUCACGUGUCUUUUAUACAAAAAUAGAUGGCUAUACAGGGAAGCAGCUGAUCAGAAAGAUUUGUAUGCAAUAUUCUUUUAAAGCUUCAAUUUGAUUUAUUUUCUAGAUAGCUACAACUUAGUGGAAAGUCAUUUCUAAACUGUAAAUAUCAGUAAGAUUCUUCCGAUAUGUGUCUUAAAAUACAGGCUUGAGAAAUGCUAGACACCGUAAUACUAACAUGGACAAAAACUAAAGACUAUGAUAAAAACUGAAUUAUACAUGAGAAAAACUUGAUCUUCGGAAAAGAGUUGGGCAAGCUUGCCCCUUGCUUGUGCUUAGCCAUAUUAAAUAGCAUAUUGGAAGGAUUUGAUUUUUAGGCCUCCAUUAAGCACAGCAGUGUUCUAAUGAGGAACACUUCGGCCUCUGGAUCAGAAAAGGGCAAGUUUUGCUCCCAUCUGGCGUAUAAUCUCUUCACCAGAGGGGAUGGCUUAGUGGGUUUUAGACUCCUUGGAACCAAAGAUUCAGCCUCUGUGAGGCUGACUCAGCCCUUACUCAUCCAACCCAUCUGUUUCCCAUAGAAGGUCUUUGAGAUGAAGCUCUGAAAAUGGGUCCUGAAUCCAUCGCACGUGUGAUUAAAGGUCGUAGGCUGUGUGUAGUAUGAGCAGAGUGGUUGCGUCUCUUGGGGCACUUGAGUGCAUUUCAAAUUCUUAUCUUUUAG
rnacentral:lncRNA from 1 species